rnacentral:misc_RNA from 1 species
AAAGUCGUAACAAGGUUUCCGUAGGUGAACCUGCGGAAGGAUCAUUACAUGUUCUUUUCGGGAGGUGCUGUAAGUCUGUAUAGUCUUCGGACUGAUGAGCAGCAGGCCCUCUGUCUGGACCCUUGUCUUUUGCGUACCUAUGUUUCCUCGGUGGGCUUGCCUGCCGAUUGGACAAACUUAUAACCUUUUUAAUUUUUAAAUCAGCGUCUGAAAAACUUAAUAAUUACAACUUUUAACAACGGAUCUCUUGGUUCUG